CUUGGUCAUUUAGAGGAAGUAAAAGUCGUAACAAGGUUUCCGUAGGUGAACCUGCGGAAGGAUCAUUACAGAGUCAUGCCCUCCGGGGUAGAUCUCCACCCUUGCCUACCUACCACUGUUGCUUUGGCGGUCCGUCUCCUCGAGCCACCGGCCCCCGGGCGGGUGCGCGACCGCCAGAGGCUCACCACAACCCCCCUUAUGAGCGUCGUCUGAGACCUAUACAAAUAGUUAAAACUUUCAACAACGGAUCUCUUGGUUCUGGCAUCGAUGAAGAACGCAGCGAAAUGCGAUAAGUAAUGUGAAUUGCAGAAUUCAGUGAAUCAUCGAAUCUUUGAACGCACAUUGCGCCCCCUGGCAUUCCGGGGGGCAUGCCUGUUCGAGCGUCAUUAACACCACUCAAGCUCUGCUUGGUCCUGGGCCGCGCCAGCAAUGGCUGUCCCCAAACUCAGUGGCGGCACCGCUAGGUCCCGAGCGUAGUACAUCUCUCGCUGCGGGCGCUGGCGGCUGGCGACCAGCAACCCCAACUCACACCAGGUUGACCUCGGAUCAGGUAGGAAUACCCGCUGAACUUAAGCAUAUCAAUAGGCGGAGGAAAAGAAACCAACAGGGAUUGCCUCAGUAACGGCGAGUGAAGCGGCAACAGCUCAAAUUUGAAAUCUGGCCCUUGCAGGGUCCGAGUUGUAAUUUGUAGAAGAUGCUUCGGGUGUGGUGCCGGUCUAAGUUCCUUGGAACAGGACGUCAUAGAGGGUGAGAAUCCCGUACGUGACUGUGCGCCUACGCCCAUGUGAAGCUCUUUCAACGAGUCGAGUUGUUUGGGAAU
rnacentral:sRNA from 1 species